AGAGUUUGAUCCUGGCUCAGGACGAACGCUGGCGGCGUGCCUAAUACAUGCAAGUCGAACGCACUCUCGUUUAGAUUGAAGGAGCUUGCUCCUGAUUGAUAAACAUUUGAGUGAGUGGCGGACGGGUGAGUAACACGUGGGUAACCUGCCCUAAAGUGGGGGAUAACAUUUGGAAACAGAUGCUAAUACCGCAUAAAACCUAACACCGCAUGGUGUAGGGUUGAAAGAUGGUUUCGGCUAUCACUUUAGGAUGGACCCGCGGUGCAUUAGUUAGUUGGUGAGGUAAAGGCUCACCAAGACCGUGAUGCAUAGCCGACCUGAGAGGGUAAUCGGCCACACUGGGACUGAGACACGGCCCAGACUCCUACGGGAGGCAGCAGUAGGGAAUCUUCCACAAUGGACGAAAGUCUGAUGGAGCAACGCCGCGUGAGUGAAGAAGGUUUUCGGAUCGUAAAACUCUGUUGUUGGAGAAGAAUGUAUCUGAUAGUAACUGAUCAGGUAGUGACGGUAUCCAACCAGAAAGCCACGGCUAACUACGUGCCAGCAGCCGCGGUAAUACGUAGGUGGCAAGCGUUGUCCGGAUUUAUUGGGCGUAAAGCGAGCGCAGGCGGUUUCUUAAGUCUGAUGUGAAAGCCUUCGGCUCAACCGAAGAAGUGCAUCGGAAACUGGGAAACUUGAGUGCAGAAGAGGACAGUGGAACUCCAUGUGUAGCGGUGAAAUGCGUAGAUAUAUGGAAGAACACCAGUGGCGAAGGCGGCUGUCUGGUCUGUAACUGACGCUGAGGCUCGAAAGCAUGGGUAGCAAACAGGAUUAGAUACCCUGGUAGUCCAUGCCGUAAACGAUGAGUGCUAGGUGUUGAAGGGGUUUCCGCCCUUCCGGGCCGCAGCUUAACGCAUAAAGCACUCCG
rnacentral:rRNA from 1 species